CUACGGGGCGCAGCAGUGAGGAAUAUUGCACAAUGGGGGGAACCCUGAUGCAGCAACGCCGCGUGGAGGAUGACGCAUUUCGGUGUGUAAACUCCUUAUAUAUGUCAAGAAAAUGACGGUAGCAUAUGAAUAAGCACCGGCUAACUCCGUGCCAGCAGCCGCGGUAAUACGGAGGGUGCAAGCGUUACUCGGAAUCACUGGGCGUAAAGGACGCGUAGGCGGGUUGGAAAGUCAGGUGUGAAAUCCUACAGCUUAACUGUAGAACUGCACUUGAAACUUCUAAUCUAGAGUAUGGGAGGGGGAGAUGGAAUUAGUGGUGUAGGGGUAAAAUCCGUAGAUAUCACUAGGAAUACCUAAAGCGAAGGCGAUCUCCUGGAACAUUACUGACGCUAAGGCGUGAAAGCGUGGGGAGCAAACAGGAUUAGACACCCUCGUAGUC
rnacentral:rRNA from 1 species